GACGUAGGGCGCGAGCGUUGUCCGGAUUUAUUGGGCGUAAAGAGCUCGUAGGCGGCUUGUUGCGUCGACUGUGAAAACCCGCAGCUUAACUGCGGGCCUGCAGUUGAUACGGGCAGGCUAGAGUUCGGUAGGGGAGACUGGAAUUCCUGGUGUAGCGGUGAAAUGCGUAGAUAUCGUGAGGAAGACCAGUGGCGAAGGCGGGUCUCUGGACAGUUCCUGACGCUGAGGCGCGAAGGCCAGGGGAGCAAACGGG
rnacentral:rRNA from 1 species